rnacentral:rRNA from 1 species
UACGAAGGGUGCAAGCGUUGCUCGGAAUUAUUGGGCGUAAAGGGUAGGUAGGUGGUCAUAAAAGUCUGGGGUGAAAUCCCUGAGCUCAACUCAGGACGUGCCUUGGAAACUUUGUGACUAGAGUACUGGAGAGGUUCGUGGAAUUCCCGGUGUAGCGGUGAAAUGCGUAGAGAUCGGGAGGAACACCAGAGGCGAAGGCGGCGAACUGGACAGUCACUGACACUCAAAUACGAAAGCGUGGGUAGCAAACAGG